GUGCCAAGCAGCCGCGGUAAAACCAGCACCUCAAGUGGUCAGGAUGAUUAUUGGGCCUAAAGCAUCCGUAGCCGGCUCUGUAAGUUUUCGGUUAAAUCUGUACGCUCAACGUACAGGCUGCCGGGAAUACUGCAUAGCUAGGGAGUGGGAGAAGUAGACGGUACUCGGUAGGAAGUGGUAAAAUGCUUUGAUCUAUCGAUGACCACCUGUGGCGAAGGCGGUCUACUAGAACACGUCCGACGGUGAGGGAUGAAAGCUGGGGGAGCAAACCGGAUUAGAUACCCGGGUAGUCCCAGCUGUAAACUAUGCAAACUCAGUGAUGCAUUGGCUUGUGGCCAAUGCAGUGCUGCAGGGAAGCCGUUAAGUUUGCCGCCUGGGAAGUACGUACGCAAGUAUGAAACUUAAAGGAAUUGGCGGGGGAGCACCACAAGGGGUGAAGCCUGCGGUUCAAUUGGAGUCAACGCCAGAAAUCUUACCCGGAGAGACAGCAGAAUGAAGGUCAAGCUGAAGACUUUACCAGACAAGCUGAGAGGUGGUGCAUGGCCGUCGCCAGCUCGUGCCGUGAGAUGUCCUGUUAAGUCAGGUAACGAGCGAGAUUCCUGCCUCUAGUUGCCACCAUUACUCUCAGGAGUAGUGGGGCGAAUUAGCGGGACCGCCGCAGUUAAUGCGGAGGAAGGAAGGGGCCACGGCAGGUCUGUGAUGCCC
rnacentral:rRNA from 1 species